GGGCCAGUAGCUCAUUUGGUAGAGCACCUCAUUUGCACUGAGGAGGCGCGGGGUUCGAAUCCCCGCUGGUCCACCA
rnacentral:tRNA from 1 species